AGAGUUUGAUCAUGGCUCAGGAUGAACGCUAGCGGCAGGCCUAAUACAUGCAAAGACGAACGGUAAGUUGAGUAGCAAUACUUAGCCAAGAGUGUCGUACGGGUGCGUAACACGUAUGCAACCUACCCUAUACAGGAGGAUAGCCUAGGGAAACCUGGAUUAACCCUUCAUAGUAUUAUUGGAUGGCAUCAUUUGAUAAUUAAAACUGAGGUGGUAUAGGAUGGGCAUGCGUCUGAUUAGUUAGUUGGCGGGGUAAUGGCCCACCAAGACGAUGAUCAGUAGGGGGUUCUGAGAGGAAGAUCCCCUACACUGGCACUGAGAUACGGGCCAGACUCCUACGGGAGGCAGCAGUAGGGAAUAUUGGUCAAUGGAUGCAAGUCUGAACCAGCCAUGCCGCGUGCAGGAAGAAGGCCUUCUGGGUUGUAAACUGCUUUGCCAGGGGAUAAAAUUUCCAUGCGUGGAAAACUGAAGGUACCUGGUGAAUAAGCCACGGCUAACUACGUG
rnacentral:rRNA from 1 species